GUCGAGCGAGCUGAAUUCAAAGAUUCCUUCGGGAUGAUUUGUUGGACCCUAGCGGCGGAUGGGUGAGUAACACGUGGGCAAUCUGCCCUAAAGACUGGGAUACCACUUGGAAACAGGUGCUAAUACCGGAUAACAACAUGAAUCGCAUGAUUCAAGUUUGAAAGGCGGCGCAAGCUGUCACUUUAGGAUGAGCCCGCGGCGCAUUAGCUAGUUGGUGGGGUAAAGGCCUACCAAGGCAAUGAUGCGUAGCCGAGUUGAGAGACUGAUCGGCCACAUUGGGACUGAGACACGGCCCAAACUCCUACGGGAGGCAGCAGUAGGGAAUCUUCCACAAUGGACGCAAGUCUGAUGGAGCAACGCCGCGUGAGUGAAGAAGGUCUUCGGAUCGUAAAGCUCUGUUGUUGGUGAAGAAGGAUAGAGGCAGUAACUGGUCUUUAUUUGACGGUAAUCAACCAGAAAGUCACGGCUAACUACGUGCCAGCAGCCGCGGUAAUACGUAGGUGGCAAGCGUUGUCCGGAUUUAUUGGGCGUAAAGCGAGCGCAGGCGGAAUGAUAAGUCUGAUGUGAAAGCCCACGGCUCAACCGUGGAACUGCAUCGGAAACUGUCAUUCUUGAGUGCAGAAGAGGAAAGUGGAACUCCAUGUGU
rnacentral:rRNA from 1 species